rnacentral:rRNA from 1 species
CCUACGGGUGGCUGCAGUCGAGAAUCAUUCACAAUGGGGGAAACCCUGAUGGUGCGACGCCGCGUGGGGGAAUGAAGGUCUUCGGAUUGUAAACCCCUGUCAUGUGGGAGCAAAUUAAAAAGAUAGUACCACAAGAGGAAGAGACGGCUAACUCUGUGCCAGCAGCCGCGGGAAUACAGAGGUCUCAAGCGUGGUUCGGAAUCACUGGGCGUAAAGCGUGCGUAGGCUGUGUCGUAAGUCGUGUGUGAAAGGCGCGGGCUCAACCCGCGGACGGCACAUGAUACUGCGAGACUAGAGUAAAGGAGGGGGAACCGGAAUUCUCGGUGUAGCAGUGAAAUGCGUAGAUAUCGAGAGGAACACUCGUGGCGAAGGCGGGUUCCUGGACAUUAACUGACGCUGAGGCACGAAGGCCAGGGGAGCGAAAGGGAUUAGAUACCCCAGUAGUC